UCUUGCAGCGUGUGACAGGAACCCAGGUGAAAGAUGGGUGUGAGUGGAACUGAAAGAGACCCCUUGAUGAUUUCCUGAGGAAAUUCACCUGUUUGGCAAUGACUUUGCUCCGCAAGUUUUCCUCCUGCAUCCACAUGUCCUCAUCAACUCCAAACUCAAAGGAAAGCAUGAUGGUUGUGAAACUGAAAAGCAACUUUCAGCGUAUGCAGAUUUGGAACUCAUAAUGCCACCAGCCUGAAACUACUGUUAAUAUUUUGGUUCAACUUCAGUUAUCUGGAAAAGGCCAAGAAGCCAGAGGAGUGAGGCAUUGUUUCAAAUCAUAAACUGACAAGAUUUGAUUAAACGUCAUCAUUUGCCCAGCAUUGUACGUGUACAAUGAAGAACCAAAGACUGGACUCUCAAGGAAGCAAAGAGACAAAAGUGACACAGCCACAAUGCUCAGCAUGCAAGUUAGCACCCAACUGACGGGCCCAGAUCAUGAGAAUUAUAGGCCCUUAGCACACUGAGGAGAGACUGGGGAGGAUCGAGAUUAGUAAAGAGAAAUAGAAGGUUCUCUAGCCAAUGGAGACAACUCAAGCAAAGGCCCUGGAAUGGGACUGGCAAGAAGAAGUGAGACCAGCCGAGUUCAGUCGAGGAACGGGUAGGAUAAUGUAUCUCAUGGAUCUUCCUCGAAUGCCUCACCUCAGAAAGAUCUAACACAACAAAUAAAACAAAAGCAGUGAAGAUAGCGACCUGUGAGGACCAAAGCCAUCUAUGCAGAACUCCAGGGAGCUUCUGCACCGGCAACCGGCACAGAGAGUCAAAAUCCUCUUCUGCCUUCUUCACUUUUCUCAGUCCUCAGGACACCAAGCUUCUAACUGACCAUGCUUCCAUAGCAUGCCCACACUUCGCCUGCACUUCCUUUAGGCUGACGUCGACACUCCCCCUGCCAUGCAAUGCUCUAUACUCCCAGGUGAAGAGUUUCCCUUCCCACUGGGCUGGAUGAUUCUGGGACCUAAGGAUCUGCUCAGAAGAGCAGAUGCUCAGUGAGUGCAUAUUAAACAGCUCUAGUGCUCCUUCCCUGGUUUUAUAAUCUGGUCCACAAAAUUCCUGGUAGCCAUCUUCAACAACAUUGCAAAACAACAUGGACCUUUAAAAGAAAGUCUGAGCAUCAGUUAACACAACUUGAAUACAAGAAAUCCCAGCAGCUCACAAUCUUUCACCCUUUUCCAAAACAUCCUGUGGGUCAGCAACAUCCCUCUAACAUGCAGAGUGAAAGGAAGAUCUCCUCUCAGAUCUUACUGCAGGCCCCCCAUUGGGGUCUUUGGGAGAUAGUCACCCAAAUGGCCUGCAUUUGAAGUUGGCAAGACCACCCCAGAAACAGCAUCUGUCCAUGUUCCUUUCACCAAGAUCCGUGGUCUGCUGAUUGUUGAGACUUGGGUUCAAGUGUUGACUUCCCUUUUUUUUUUCUUAAAGAUUUUAUUUUUCCUUUUCCUCCCCAAAGC